AAGAUCAUUGCUUGGCUUUCUCAUGUGAACAGCCACAAAAGAAAACCUUACAAAGAAGUGCACUGCUUUUUUUUCCCUCUGUAAUUCAUAUUAAUAGUUUUUUUUAUUGGUCUUUACCUGAGAUCUGUUUUUGCUACAGAUAAAAAGAUUGAAAAACAAUAACAGUUCAAUGUUUUUAAAGUUAUACAUCUUUUGGCACGGACCACAACAAGAUGAGCAUCCCAGCUGUGAGUAUUCUGAGUUUCUAAGGUUUUACCGCAGGAUGUGGAGUUAAGGAAUAAAUGUUUUGGAUUGCAUUUCCAGCAUGGCUAUAGUUAGGUCUGUUGGUCACUUAAGCGCAGAGUAAAGUAUCUUGACCACAGGCCUAAUGGAGCAAGCAAACUCUGAUUUUGGCAUUUCAAAUUUGUAAUCAAAUUUUUAAAUCAAAAUCAAACAAGAACAUUUGAACUAACGGGGCAUUUACACCAAGCGUGAGUAAAAACAUCUACUCGCUUAAUUCGUGCGAAUCUAGACGCGUGAAUGAAGAGUAUUUUCUCGCUCCAUUCUCAUGUCGACGGUAAUUUCAUUGGUGAUCCCUGCAAAUUCAUCUGGCAGGAUCAAGUGAUAGACAAAGGUUUUGUACAAUUUACCAGGUAAUCCAACCUCCUUAUUAUACAUUACAUUUUCAGCUCUCGCCCAGUUCGAGUCAUUUGAGUUCGAGUAGUAGGAGUGUCUAAUCGCGUCCUUGCAUUGACUUAACAUGUAAUUCAUUCACGCAAAUGAUUUUACUCACACUUGGUUUGUGGAGACAGUUAGAAAUUCUAAUAAUUUGAGUCAAUUUUGUACAUAAAAGUCAAGCCGUAAUUUUAUGACGUAUGACACUUCACAAAAUUUCUCAAAACUUUUAAAAGUCACAUUGUCUUAAUUUUCAUGAGAAAAGAAGCAUACAAACCGUGUGCCUUUAUUAACCAAAAGUGAUAGAUAUUAACAAUCGUUUGUCGUGAUUACACACAUAGUUUUUAGCAUUUCUCGACUGACAACUUCUGGUGUAUAUCUUUUCAAAGACAUCGAUUUGGGAUGAUACCUUUGAAUGAAGAUUAACAAUUUAGAAGUACAAUAUGGGACAUUUACAACCAACCUUCAGAGUUUGGGCUGUGGUUUCCCAGUGAAUUCAUGCAGAUCUCUUAUGUGUGUUUGGAAACAUUAUUCUGAUCUGAUAACUUGCACAUAGAUCUCUGGUUUGAUAAACUAAUAUGAUGACCUGCAGUCUGAAGAAAGCCAUGAAUGCAAGCACAUAAACUUUUGCACAGACGUUAACCCCAGAAAUGAAUAAAAAUGAUUUAUUGAUGCUGUGUCUGCAGUGCUGUUAAGUUAUACAUAGAAAGUCUUUACAAUAAGUGAUUUAGAUCGACACAAAUUAUCCUAGUCUGGGCAAAACUACAAUGUUAAACAUAUCUAAUCUUUACUGUUGGUGUGGCUGCAGAGUAAAAGGCCAAUGCUUGUAAGUGCAUGGGGUAAAUCUUAACCUAAUGUGACAAUACACCUGAGCACACCUUUCUCAUUUUUUAUUCAAUGCCAAAAUACCAAAGGGUGGAGAGAGUGGUGAAAGUAGUUUUUGCUUCCUAUUGAACUUGGGAACCUGAGAAAAGAAUAAUAGACUCUACUAGUUGGAAUAAUCAAUGACACUUAGACACUUCACUAUGAACCAUACUGCUCUUGAUGUUUACAUGGAGUGUUAAGUCUAGUGAGUUAAUGAUUUCAUUGCAUUGGAUCUAAGCGUUAACAUGUUUCCCCUCCUACUCUGGUACUUUGUGUGACUGCAGUGCUCCUCUAAAGCCCUCUGCUGUCCUUCUGUCUGUCAGGGCUGCUAUAAGACAGACUCCCGCUGUCCUGAAGACAUGAGGCAGACAGCGUGCACCUUGACCUGACAUGAGGAGACAAGAUGCUAACAUAGAGCAAGAAGGCACUUUGAUCGGUGAAGAAAGCUGCAUGCAGCUGAUGGAGAGACAGAGAAAGCUUUCUCCUCCUAAAUGCUUCACCUGUCAAUCAUUUGUCAUGUCAAGAGCACUUUGAAGAGUUGCUGUCUCUCUGUCAGUCUUGCUCAGUACCCCUUAAAAUAUUUGAUCUACUUUAGAAGGAAAACGAGAAACAGAUGAAGAAAUAGGAAGACAGUGUGGGAAAGAUGUUCAUUCAUUUAUAACCAUUUUACUGGAGAGACUUUUUUAAAACUAGACUGGUGAAAUUUUUACAACCUGUUUGUAUAGUUAUGGGUCAUCAGGAAGUUAGACUUCAAAACACUAAUUGAAAGUCACCUGUAUCCAGAAUUCAGGCUAUUGUCUUCAUGUAAAUAAUGUUAGCGUCAAUUCUACAGAGUGGCCCCGUAUUCAAAUUCAUAAUUAUGAUUAAAUUAUAACCAGAGAAGCUUGUUUGUUGGAUGGAGGUGGAUCUUAUAGGCAUAUAAUUUUGAAGAGCUUUUAUUUGUAGAGGAAGCUUAUAAAGAUCUGUGGUGCCUGAUGCGCUAAAAUUAGUUACUACUUUGCGAUCUUGGUAUCAUUGUUCUGCAUCUUUUGUAGUUUACAUCUGAUACACAUAAGCAGAAAAGGAUAUAACUGACAGUAUGUCUACAUGACUGCAUGUUCAUGUUACGGAUAAAUACGUUCACAAAAGAGCAUGUCACCCUGUUUACAUCAUGACACAGUCUAUUUGGAGCUUUCUGACAUGAGAGCUGUCAGCGUGUCAUCCAACUUUCAGCUGCCUUGCUGCCACGUAUCAAGGGGAUAAAAGCUUGACGGAUUUUAUCACCCAUCAGCCUGAAAGAAGUGAUAACAAAAGGAGAAUUUGGGAAAUUGUUCUUACAGACAGACAGCGGUAAAGAAAAUAGCUGAAGGAGGGAUUGAAGUAUGUGUUUCUCCACCUUGAACAACAGACGGAUAAGAAGGUGUUUUUGAUACCAGAUGUUGUAAAAGAUUUUGAUGGAUAAUGGGGUCAGUGAAAAAGUUUUCAUAGAUAGCUUUGACACCUUAGCUGUACAGACCGUAUGAAAAUAUCCAUGCAAAACUGAAUGCUGCUGAUAUUCCCAUCCUAAAUAUGAUGAACUAAUGGGUAACACUGUACAAUAAGAUACACAAAAUUAGAGUUGUUACUGAGGAAGUAAUGUGAACUAAUAAGUAGUUACUGAGAAACUAAGGCACACAAAUGAUCAGUUCUUCAAUAACCCCUGAUCAAGUUUCAAAGGAGUAGUUACUGAGGAAGUAAUGAUAAAGUACCUAUUAGUUAAUAGUCAGCUCUUAAGUAACCCCCGAUCAAGUUUCAGAGAAGUAGUUAGUAAGGAAAUAAUAAUGAAGUAAGUAUUAUUGAUCAGAGUUUCAGUAACUUCUGAUCAAAUAUCAGAGGAGUAGUUAGUGAGGAACUAAUGGAUAGUUACUGAGGAGCAAAUGAGGAACAUAAAAAGGAACUAACGAUUAGCAAAUUAGCCACUGAGGAACUAACUAUUACUUAAUCAUUACCUACAUUUUUGUGUACCCUAAAGUAAAGUAUCAUUACGUCAUCAUGGCCAUGCAUACCGUCCUGGACAACCUGGCACACCCUCUCAAUGAGUUCCUCAUUAGUUUCUCAGUAACUACUCCUCUGAAAUUUGGUCAGGAGUUCCUGAGGAACUGGCCAUUGACUAAUAGUUAAUCAUUAGUUCCUCAGUAACUGCUCUAAUUUUGUGUUCCUUUGUCCCUCAGUAACUACUCAUUAGUUCCUCAUUAGUUCUUGAUUAAUUCCUCAUUAACUACUGUAAUUUUGUGUACCUUAUUGUAUAGCAUUACCAACUAAUAUAUCUAAUCUUAUCACUAUAAGUUACUUUUUCAUGUAACACACCACUGAUUAAAUCAUCGUUUUGACAAUCAUCAGUACAAAAAAAUGAUAAAAGUAGAUCAUUUGUUUAAAUGCAGUUUUAACUUAAACGCUUUUAAAAUUCUGGAUUUGUCUGCCAUAGAUACAAAAUAUUGCUUCUUGUAAAGGUUUUGAAACAGAAACUUUCCAUUAACUUUUAUCUCAGAUAAAUAAAUGAAGGAUUGUGAAAGAAAGUGUCCAUAUGAGAAAGAGGGUGCUACAAGAACAAAUUGUGUUAGUACCACAACUUCACAAUCCCAAUUAUUUAUAUGUGCUUAUUUAUUUAUUUAUUUAUAUUUACUAUUUAUGUUUUCAGGGAAAAUGAUAAAUCUUUUUAAAUAUGCUUCUUGUGUUUCAUAACUGGUUGUACCUCCCUAAUUACACCUCUGAAAAAUAUUCUUGUAUCUAACAACUGUCCUUUUUCUCUCAGAUGAAGCACAGUAGCACUGUCAAUUGUUGUUUGCUAUGACUUCCACCAGUUCAAACUCAACUGGAUGAAAGCUGAGCCCUAGGGACAGAGAGAGAUUACCAAGAGAGAGAAAAGGCCCAGCCAGAGGCAGAUCUGGGCAGAGUCAAGUGGAGGAGAGCAUUUCAGCUGAAGGGACAGGAAGAGAACAGAGAGUGAAGCAUCAGAAUGGAGCAAGAAGCCAAGAACAAAAGCAGAGAGGGCUGUGAGCAAAGAGUAUGAAAAGAGAAAUGAGAGGAAGAGGAGAGAGGUGAAAGAAGAGUGUCAAAAAAUUAGUGAAGAAAAAAACGACCACCUAUGGCAGAGUUUGGAGACUCAGAGGCAGAGAGACUAAAGAUGCAGAGAGAGGAACUACAAGGGAGGGCCAAGGAAAGGGAGAAAGUUCUCAGUGACGCACUUCAAAAAGCCAAUAAAAAUUUAGAUGAGCUGAGAAAAAGCCUCCAACAGCUGUAAGAGAGGUGAAUUUUUUAUGUUUUUGUCUGUGCUUCCUGUCCCUAGUGUGCAAUAAUCUCUAAUGCCAGGCUUCAUGUGGGCAAUUAUCCUGUGAGUCAUGCUGUUAACAGAAAAAUACACAAAAACGCUCUCAGAGGGACCGUAUAUAUAUCCCGCUAUUUGUGCGUGAAUGUGCAUCUCUGACACCAAACUUGUUGCAUAGUUACUGUUAUCUUUAAUCUACCUUGAAAAGAAAAACAAAAUAAACAAGAUGCUUUGGUGUGUUUUAGAUGGACUUUCCUGAAAAAAGACUCUUUCACCACAGUCUUUAUGAGGUGUUUAUGGGCCGGAAAUGCUUUACCCAACAAGCACACACAAACCAGCGUUAGCAGGGCUUGGCUCAGUAUUGGAGGAAAAAAAAAGGUUUUAUUUCAGAAAUAUAAUUUGCAGAGUGCUGCGGUCAAGUGACUGUCUUUCUCAUUCAAUGUUCGCUGAAAAGAAAUCAGGCCAAGCAUUUGCAUGUUUCAAUUUACGCAGAAAUAGUACGUGAGGAAUCCAACUUUGUUUCGUAAAAGGAAAUAGUGAAGUGUGGGGGGAAGAAAAGUUACUAGUUUAUUACAUAACCGUACUAAAGGGAACGAUUAAUGCACUGUGAUGAACAUGUGGAGUCUAACUCGGUGUUACGGUGUGUUUGACCCUAAUUUAAUUUUACACCGGAUUAUCCCUUUAACCAGCAUUAAUUGUUGGCAAGCUGUUCUUGUCUUGUUUUUAACCAUAAAGGAAGAUAACCCAGGUGUCUCAGUAUCAGUCACUUCCUGUCCAGUCCAGAGCCAAGUGUGUUUCUAAUGAAUAGUGGCAGACUUGGCCAAUCCACGUGGCUAGUAAUGGAUAAUUUGACUCUGCUGCCGAGGGUGAGAGGCUAACAAAAGCCCAUGUGCUACAAAAGUUAGUGUUAUAGGGGAAUCCAUUAUUCCACCAAUGUUUUCCCAGAUUCCAAUUAGAGGUUAAUAAUAACCCUCAAUAGACAUGUCUUCCCUCCUUACAACAGCAAAUACGUACUACAUGAAAUGUACAUGCACACCCAAGCAUGUUUCAUUUUCACCAUCAGCCCAUCUUUUAGGCUCAUUGCAUUAUUUCAUUUUUGUUCACAGGAAUGGUAGCUGGUCUGGUAUAAUUUCACUUAUGAGACAUUACCAUUACUACUUCUAUACUGCCACCCCAGAAAACAAGAAGACAUUGUAAGUAUCCCAUGUUGCCUAUAACACCUAUAACACUGAGGUGGGGGUUCCAGUUUGCCUCUAGCUUUGCUACUGUUUCCUUCUAAAACUGCAACAUCAUUGUGAUGUGGGCCCUAAAGGGGUCUAUAGGGCUCUAUACGGCCCUUAAUAGUCUCUUGUAAGAGGCAGUGUAUUAUGGGUUUUAAUUGGGCGUCUUAGCCUCAAGUGGACACUUGAGAAACUUAGUGUUUUUAGAAUUCCUUAUUGGCUUCCUUAUUUUCAUACCAGAGGCUCCUGCUUGAUUUGUGCAACUAAUUUUAGCUUAUUAGAUUUUUUCCCAUCUGACUCAACUAUUAUAUCACCAAUUACAUAUCAGACAGAGACAACAAAUGAUUGGUAAAGAGUUAACAGUCUGACGCUGAUCGUUUCUUAUCUGCUAACUGAAUCUUCAUGAGGUUACAUCAACUUUAAAUAGAUGUUUUUUCCAGUCUAUGAUAGAUCUAGAUGACUGGAAAAGUGAUUCAAAGUAAGUUGAAGAUACUUAAGCCAAAAUAGGACAGUAAUUGUUUUUCCGUUGAUAGUAGUCUGAAAAGACCAGAAUGCAUUACAGCCUUACAGCAUGUUCUCCUCUCGUGUGCUGUGCCAACAUUUGUUCCUUUUCUACUCUCCACUGACACCUUCACACUCUGAAUACACUGAUACAGUCAUGAUGUUCGAGGGCUGUGCCAAGCUUAUCUGGGAGGGAAAGGAAGUGACCAAAUAUGGUUAAAAAAAAGACAUCCCCUCAUCUCAGGAUGCUUAUGUACUCCAAAACCUCAACAAAAUGGGAAAGCCCAAAGAUAAAGGUUUCAUUUAGGAUCAACAAAAAACAACGAUUAUCUAUUCUUUCUUUCUCUUUUUCUUUCUUUCUUUCUUUCAACUAAUGCGCCAAUUUUUUAUUGUUUGUUAACCCCAAGUACGAGGCAUAUACACACUUCAGUGGUAAUGAUUCCUAUUGCGUGUAGCUCACAUCAGCUUAAAAGCAAGGUUAAUCAAAUUGCAGGUGUCUGUAAUCUAGCAGCCAACGCAGCUUCAGCGAAGUAUCCGAGAAACACUUACUGACUCAUUGUCAUGAAAAGCUUCAAACUACUUCAGACAUCUUGCAGUUACAACUGAAGAUGCCCAGUGUAGCACAAAAACAAUAAUAUGUAUGUUUACAAGGGAUGUGUAGACCAACAGGUUUUUUCCUUAUGAAUAAAUAAUCUUUGCUUAUAUACUUCAAGAAGCCAGGACAAGAAACAUUAGGAUUUGGAGACAACAUAAAUAAAGAGAUUUUUGUUGUAAAGUUUAGAAUCUGGGCCUCGUCGUCUUGUACGGAUUAAUCCAAAGUAAGCAUUGUACUUUAAUAUUGCAGUGUGUGUAGAGGCCAGACUCAAAUGGCUUGCUACUGUUCAGGUUGUCCGUAUGUUGUUAUGAGCAUGGUAGACUGCUGAGCCAAUCCACUAUCUGGUCUAAUGUAAGCUGAUUAUCUCUCCCAUACAGUGCCUCUUCAUUGAGUGAAUAGUGCACGCAAACACACACACACAAACAAACACAUGCUGUGCACAGUUGCGCGGUGGAGCCUUGGGGCCAAGUGAGGGUCAGAGGGUCAAAGUUGGGGCAGAGAUAAUGAUGCACGGCACAGUGAUGUGUGAGAGGCCAGGCCAGACUGACAGCCGUGGAUUCUCUCUCUGCUCUUUUGUCUUUUCUGUAUUUUUGUUUUUCUGCAUUUCUUUGAUCAUUGGCCCCUAAUAUUUUUUUAUAAAUUAUAAUGUAGAUUAAGUUUGCACAAUAGUUUUAUUCAUUUAAAUACUGUUUUAUUGUAACAAACAAGAACUCACUCUUUUUUUACCUCCUCAUUAGUUUUCUUCUGCAAUUUUCACCCGUUAUUUUGUGAUCACUGCAUGUUAUAUGCUGUUCACUCCAUUUUCAAGCUGUUGUAACAGACUUUAAACUUUAAAUAAAAAAAGUCUUUCAAAGUUGAGAACAAAAAUGAUUACCCUCACCUUGUAAAUGUUCUUUCAGGGACUACAUUGUUAUUUUGCUUUGUGUAAUGUCAUGAUACAUUAUUUUUAGAGUAACUUUAAAUGCUUAAUGUUAUGAUCUGUUAAGCGUAAAGGUAAGUUUUUUAGUUUUUUGGCUUUUUUUACUGUAGCUAAAAAUUAUUGCAAAAAUAACAAUCUCCAGGGCCAGUUCCCAGCUGACAAUGAGGAGUCUCUUUUUCCAUGAUUAAGACACCAAUAGUUCUGGUUAAAUAAUAAGUUCAGAUGUUUUGGAUCCAACAUUUAUAAGUCUCUGCAAGCUAACCUUACAUUUGUCAUAAUUUCAUACUUUUUGACACACUUUUCUGAAAGCACAGAAGAUGAUUGCUAACAAGACUAACAAUAUUGUUUCUGUAAUGACACAGACUAUAGGGUGUUUUCCAUUUUUGUAAUGUAAUAGAGUCAAACAAAGUCAAAUGUACCAUGAGGAGCUUUUUGUCUGUACUGUUAGAGCCUGGUAUGUAACAAUCAUAGACUGUAUAUACUAUGGACAACUUGGUUCUGCCUUCCGCCAAUAUAGGCAUUUGAAGCCGAAAAGCUCUCUGUAAUUCCGUUUUUUCUCUCCACUUCCUGAAACCACUUGCACAGUACCACUGUACGCAUUCGGUGGGAGAGUCGCUAUGAUGAUGUGAGCUAUGCAAUCCUUAUUACAUUUCAGGCUUUAUUAAAUUUUUUUCUAAUAACAUUUCGGGUCACUGUUACACAUCAGGCUUUGACAGGGUCCUCACAUGUCGAUGCGCCUCAGUCUAACAAUUUACCAAAUGAUAUUGUUAGUCUUGCUAACAAUGGUCCCAUUAUAGAGUUGCAUCUCUGUUCAUUUAAGUCUGUUUCAUUAUUGAUCAAAAACUCCUCAGAGGGACUUUGAGGUUACUCAACUGGGGAGAGGGUAAGGUAACAAAGUCAAACACUGGGUGCUAUCACAUUCAGAUACCAAGUAUGUGUGGUAUGUUAGUCACAGAGGGGUAAAGAACAUCGGUGAGGUGAGAGGGUUAUUACCAUAUCAGUUUAAAGAGAAGAGGCACAGCGGAGAACGAAACUCACUAUGGGACAGUUAAAAGAUCUUGGUUUGGAAACAGUUAAACAGGUUUGGACAGACAGAACUCAUCUACCUGAAGACAGGUUGAAACAUAUCAUCCAACACGUGCUCAUGUUUAUGGCCAUGAUAGAAGUGUUGGGGAAUUUCAUACACUCUGCCGACUUCCUCUUAACUGAUUGGUCUUAAGCGUAAACAGAAUGAUUCACUCGCUCUAUUUGCGAAUAUCUGGACGCCUAAAUGUUGGGUGUUUACUCGCUUAAUUUAUAUGAAUGACUCAAUCUUAUUCACGUUUAAUUCAUAUCUGCGAAGUACCCAAAGAUGAGUAAAUGUGGGUUCCUACAUGUCAUGUCAGUACUGUUUACAUUGAACAUUGGAGUGGUUAACCACAUUGUGGGGACCUGUUGUGUUCGAACAAUUUACUAGACAAUGCGACCAGCUCACUUUCCUCCAGUUGAGUUCUUUUUUUAUUAUUCCUGCCUCGAUAUUCUGAACACAUUGUAUCCUACAGCUCAGGUGUAGUGGCAUACCAUCACAACUGGUUAAUCCUCCACUUCCACAGAAAUGACUCUCUGCCAGUCUGUUGUUGAUAUUCAUCACCAGAAAAUCUUUACGCUGAUUGGCCAUUGCGGCACAAAUAAUUCUUUGAGUUUAGAUUUUUCAACACUGGCGGAGAAGCUCUCCUACUAUGGAUCUAUUGGUUAGUAUUGUGAAUCAUUUACAUCUCCUGGAACAGAUGACCUUCUCCCUUAGACUUCAGAAGGAAUUAGGAGAAAGGAGAUGGGAGAAAUGGGUGAGCUAUCUACAUGGUGUCUCGGACCUCAUGAAAACUGUGAGAAAGGAAAAAAGAAAAAAAGAUGACUUCUUGUACUUGACAAUAUUCUGUAGAUAGGAUGGGGCUGCGCAGUGUGUAUAUCGACUUGCCUUUUGAUACUUGGGCCGAUGCACAGCAUCGCUGCUCAAGCAUAGGUCUGACUUUAAUGCAGUGUUAGUAACUCAAAACAUUGUAACACCAUUAUAGAAGGGGAAGGAAGAACAAUAAGUACGAAGUAUGUAUGUAUGUAUACAUAUAUUAAUAAUAAUGAAGAGACGGGUCUUGCUGCGACUGUACAGCCCCAGCAUAUAUAGGUAUUCAAUGUAUAUUUACCCGCUAUGCCUGUGAUAUACACCCCAUGACCUCUUUAUUGUUUGUUUAGUUCUUUUUUUUGUUUGUUUUUAUUUCCAUCUACUUUUCUAUUCACACCUUUGUUGUUAAAAGAAAUUUUGAGAAAUAAAGAGUUUAAAAAAAAAAAAAAAAAAAAACACUGGCGGAGAAGCAAAUUAAGUGAAUGACGCUGGUCGUGGUGAACGCAGCAUUAAUUCGCAUCAUUCACGCAUAUUGUCCUCUCAAUUUGUGAUAUUUAUGCCACCUAAUUCAUGUCAUAUACGCCACCCAAAAAGAUGGGAUUUGUGACUUUAUAUGUAAAUUACACUCAUGAAAAAUUUUAUUCCCAUUCUGUCUGAAUGCACCAAUAGUCACCACUAGUCAUACGGUGUACCUGGGUGUGUCUGUUUUAAGAGAGAUACUCCUUUAUUAGUCCCACAAGGGGAAAUUCACAUGUUUUUCACCCAUGCUUGACUCUGUGUCAAUGUAUUUGGGGUAGUCCAAGCUUCUGUGGACGUGUAUGUAUGUGUUCGUCUGUUUGCAUGCACAUUCACACACCUGCAAUUGAUAGGGUAAUAACCUUUAAUCACUGCAGCAGAAAUUAGAUAAGAAAGUUAUAAAGAAUAAAUCAUAAAAAUGUGUAAGAGGUACACACACACACACACACACAAACACCUGGGGCUGGAUUGUACACUGAUAAGAUAAGUUGCAGGUGCGAGCAAGGGAUCAACAAAUGAUGGAUGACAAAUCGGAAGGCAUUCAUUUGUAACUAGGAAGCACUGAAUGGUAAAUAAGUUAUGUUCCCAGCAGGGCAUAAAUUUCUUGGCAUCACAAAAAAAAAUAAAAAAUGAAGCACUGUACUCUGCGUAUGUGUGCUUGUGUUUUUGUGAGUGUGUCAGGUAGUAUGUCAAGUCUACUUUGAACAGUACAGAGUCAUACAUCCUCUAAAACCAGUAUGUACUGUAUGUUCCCACUUCAAGUACAUCAAACUUAGUGUAGCAUGCUAAAACACACAUAUGCACAUGCACGCACACACACACAUACUGCUGUGCAUAUUGGAGUUUAGUCUGAGAAGUCCCCCUCCCUGUCAAGGAUGUCCUUGAUUAAGGUCUGAUUGUGGUUUAACUUUACUGUGGGUCUCUUGACAACAAAAUCAAUACAAACAGCAGUAUUAAUGUGUGUCUCACGAACAACAAAACACACACAGGCACAUGACAGAGUCAUCAGCAACAUCAUGUUGGCUUUGUAGCAUAGCAACCCACCCAACCAAGUAAACAAACACACAGAUACAGGGCCUGUAGGAGUUUGAAUUCAUAUUUAAUAGUCUAUAUGGCCAAUGGAAUUUCAUAUCCCUUAUAUUGACUCAGUAAUUCAUACUAUGUUAUCAUUGGUUGUGUCUGUUUUCUGCACUGUUAAUGUACAUAACUGUACAUUUCUGUGUCUGUGCAUGAAUGCUUGUCUAUGAUUACAUACGCAGCUGUUUAUGUAAAAAAGCGUUCAAAAUGCAUUUAAAGCAUUAAGUUUAAACCCAGUCUUAGAAAACCAAAGCCUCUUUAGACUGUGUACCUAUAGAAACACGUAAAAUAUGUUUAUCCACAGUGUAUGAGUGUGUUACUGUGCAUCUCUUUACUGUCAGUGUGUAACAUUCUGCUUGUGCUCUUUUUUGGUCAAAGCAAAAUGUCUUUCAGCUUUGGAUGUCCUGCCAUGGCGGUGAUCAAAACAGUCUUUUAACUCACACACAUGAGCAGGCACAGCGGGUGAACAGAUGACGCUUUGAUAUGGGAAAGCUUUUAUGUCACUGCUGAUGAUGACAGGAAAUGCCAGCACAGACACACACACAAACACACUUUUAGUAUGUGGACAUAUUUACACUGACAUACACCAGUCACUUAUCACUAAAUAGUUGAAUAUCAAAUUCACCUUGACUGAAUGUCCACAGCCCUGGGAUACAGGAUGUUUGUGUACAAUCUAGAGCAAAAGCACUAAUAUUUUAUCUAUGUAGAGAGAUGGUCUCUUGUGGAUUAAUAGGGAACUACAUCAAAACAUUUCUGCUGUUCAUUACAUAUGAUUCUAACUAAAAAUUUUGCAUUUUUUGCUUUCAGAAAAAACAGCAGCAAAAAGUAGAAAGUAACUUGCUGAUUCAUGAAUUAAUUUUGUUUUAUUAUUCUUCAUUCAGUCAUAUUGUCAAAGAUAAGCGCUUCAUUGGUUUGGUAUGUAGCUUUUUUAUGUGGCGCAUAUUUUAUUUAAUACCAAUGCUUGACAAACGCUUAAUUAUUUACUGACAUAAACAUGUAGAGCGAUUGAUCAUGAAAAGAAACUUGGAUAAAAUGGAGAGUGUUGAGAAAUACGUGAUAUUGAAUCCAUAAUACUCACAUAUUAAAACAAUACAAGCAAUCAAAUGUCACAUGAAAUGAAACGCAGUGCAGCUAAUAGAGGCAUAAUAACUAUUUUCCAGGUCACCAGCCUUGAGUUUUUUUGCUUACUAUGGAAACUAAGAUGUGCAGACAUAGUGACACAGAACAUUUUGUACAAAGUCUGGGGACUAAACUAAGCCUAUGAGGGAGGUAAAGUUAGACUUUGUGAUUCUGACCUUCAGUUCAAAUCUCUUUAAAUAUAAAAAAUGAAUAAAACCAGCAAACAUAUUCACAUUCACUAAAAUACUAUAAAAUAAUAUGGUAGGCUUUGAUAACUCUGUGCCGAGCAGAUCAGUUGUUGUUGUCGUGUGCAUUGCUGUCUGCAUGUGUGAGUAUGGCGUGUCCUGUGUGUGUAUGUGUGUGUGUGUUUAGUGUGUGAGUGUGUAUGACAUGUUCUGAUGAGGCAGUUGAUUUGGGCUGCUGGUAGGGGGUACUCUAAUCUGGCACGCACUCACUGGCACUGCUCUACCUAGUUAUUCCACUGACAGCCACUGCCCUGGGAACAGGAGCUCAAGCUCACGCACACAAAACACACACACACACACACAGAUUCGUGAACAGAAUACACACACAUUCAUACAAACACACUCGCAUGCACACACCCCUCUUGAGGCAAUGUUCUUUCUGAUCUCGCUUUGGGACUGGUGGGGACAGAUGGGUGAACAGUGGGAGUCUGGGCCGCCAUCACUCAGAGAGCAAAGGCAUACACGCACAAAUACACACAUUUCAUUCGAAUACACACUGACACAAACACAUACACACACACACAGGAUCGCGAGCUCAGCCAGACUUGGUCAGAAAGUGGCAAACAUACAAACAGACAGGCUAAAAUGUGCACGGAAAGUCUGGCUUGUCCCAUCUCCUGCACAAACGCACAAGAGGUGCACACACACACAGGCUUAGCCGCAGUCACACACACACACCUAUUUACUUAUUUGUAAACAUGCACUUCAAUUCACACAUGGCUUCUUGUUCACACACAGAGACCGGAUUACUAGAAACGGCAUGCAAUCUUAGUUGGCUCAUUCUCACUCCACUGUGCUCCCAGUCUCCCCACUGAACUUGUAACACAUCACAGAAAAACAGGUAGCAUUGCUUUUCUCUCCUAUGAUCAUUUAUCUUUAAUAGUAGUUGAGUAAAUAAUAUCUCUUUUUGGUAAGGCCGGAUUAGUAGGAUUCAUCUGUAGCAUGAACAAUCAAAAGUAAUUUUCAUGUAAAAGAAAAUUUAAGAAAAACUGAAUGAAGUUAUUAAACACAAAAAUCCUUUAGCCAAGAAAUCCACUUAAUGCAUCAAAACAUUUGUUUAUUUGAUUAAAAAAAUAAAAUAAAAAUGUUCAAUACCUCUGCUAACUCCAUACAUAGUUUUUUGUUCACACUUAGGGCUGUAAAGUCCUAGUCGACUUAUUGGUUGAUACGUGCUGAGUCAACCAAAAUUCUAAAUGGUCGGCUUGAUUUUUUUCCACUUUAAUUUACGGUGUAUGGUUAAUUUCUAGGGAUGGGUCCGAAUAUUCGGCGCCGAAAAUAUUCGGCCGAAAAGCAUCAAAAAUGAAUUUUCGGUUUCCGGCCGAAUAGAUGUUAUGGCCGAAAAAAAUUACCGAAUAGUGUGGAUAAACAUAUGUCUAGAAUGAACUCUCAAAAACGGAAAACGCAGACGGCGCUGUUUUCCCUGUUUUAGUAGCAUGUUGAUGACGUCAUCGGAACGCGACAAGAGGCAAGCCGGUGUUGUGCCGUAGAAAGCACCCCCGCUGUAGAAUGCACCCCCUGCCUCCCAUCCACUCGUUAGCUUCUUAAAGUGGAAGAAAAUGAUCUCAUAUUUUAAAAAACACGACUAUUUGAUCGUUACAACUUUCGUUCUGAUUUUAUCUGUCUCAAAAAUGCACAUACGGAGGUGUGCUUGGGUAUAUAAACUGUACAGUAAACUGUCAAGCUGGCAUACAUUAUAUUUUUCAACCGCGCUCCCGUCGGGGGUGCAUUCUACGGCACAACACCGGCAUGCUGAGACGACGCACACGAUACGAGCAGCUGUCUUGGCUUGAAGCCGUUCAACCGGCAUGUCUGCGGUUUGGAAAUAUUUCGACAUAUCAGAGAAAGAUGGUCUGAUGGCAAUUUGUAAACUCUGCUCUGCUGAAGUGUCUCGAGGUGGUGUGACAGCAAAAACUUUCAGUACAUCGGGGCUAAUCAACCACUUGAGCGCUAAACAUAAGGACAAACAUGACGAGUUUAAGAAACUCACUGCACAAAAGUUUGCACAAUCGUAUGUGCAUGCAUGUAAGUGCAUUUAUUGUUGAAGGCCUCAGGCCUGGAUUUGUGUUUACUGUUGCACAAUCAUGUAUAUGCAUGCACGUACCUGCAUUUAUUUUAUUUAUUUUGCAUAUGUGCAUUUUAUUUUAUUUACUUUAGGCUAUCCUACAGGGAAAAUUGCACUUUUUUUGUAUUGUUAUUGCAAAGAUGUUAUUUACUUAAUUUUAUUUUAUUGAAUGUUAUUGUUAUAGCAUUGUUAUGUCAUGUGCUGAAGCUGAAUAAAUGUUUCAUGGUUCAAACAUAAAGUGAUUAAUAUUUAAGUUUGCCAGGUUUUGCCAUAAUCAGGUAGCUUUAAAACAAAUGUAUGGCAAUGACAGCAAUUGUACAAAAAUUGCUUGGUGAUAAAAAUUCAUAAUUUAUAUACAUAUUUAUUAAUCAUAUUCGGGUAUUCGGUUAUUCGGCCAAGUGUUUCUAAUAUUUGGUAUUCGGUUUCGGCCAAGAUUUUCCCAUUCGGUCCAUCCCUAUUAAUUUCAUUAGGAGGAAUGUACCAAGUGCUAAUGGGGGUGUUUUCAUAGCACCCCUUUUUUCACAGGUAACAACUUGUCUCAGAACACCCCCUAUGUUUUCACCAUUUUGGAUUCACCCAACCCAGUAAGACAGUAAGAUUGAAGGGCGUCUGUCCAACAUCCAGUGGUUUGCUGAAUUUAUUUUUAUUUUGAGCGUUUCAACUUUGAUCUUGUUUAAUUGCCUUCUUGCGCUGUUAUCAGUAUGUUUUCACCCCACAGAGCCACAUCAUCCCCCGCCGCAGAAGGGUUUGCCAUCUGAGUCGGGCCUAACGAUCAGUGUUUGGAUGUAUUACCAUUACCUUUUGCAGUAGACCAUAGAAAAUUAAGGGAUAGAUGCUGAAUAGCGCUCAGAUAUGCUUCAAGUGUGUUAAGUGUACUUCAUUUAGAUUUGACAGAUGACUACCUUCCAUGCAUGAAUAUGCAUCAUAUUAAUCAACAAAGCUAGGGUGGGUAAUGGGUAUAACAACAGACACUUUUCACCUCCAAGCUUCUCCUCAACUCUAUAGCAGUUACAAUAUGAAUCUACUUACUCCUUUUCUAUACUAUCUAUACAACUCUCCACCUUUUAUUUCUUAUUUUUAUGCAUUGCAACAUUGACUCAUAUUAUCAUGAUUAUUUAAUAUAGAUAUAUUAAAUUAUCUAAAACAAGAGAUGAGCUGAUGAUAGGCUCUUCAUAUCAAUUACCUCUGUGAAACAAUUUAAAUUUUCAUCCUAUCUCAUUUUAUCAGAUCACCUUCUGCUCUCUAUCAUUAAAAUUGCAUCAUCCAUGAACUCUUUUAACCCCAAGAGAGUACUGUGGCAUUACGUUUGGAUUAUGUUCUCUAAUGUGUGAAUAUUGCUCAUGACUCCUUACUCUCUUUCUGCCCCUCCCCCAUCCCCUCCCUAAACCCAAUGCAGUCACAGCAGAUGACUGAUUUAAAUGGGAUGGGUCUUCCGGUCUUUACAUUGAGUCUUUGUAAAAAGAGUAUCGUCUAGACCAGUUUUUUUGUGGUUGUUGUGAAACGUCUUGGUUUAACACUUGUUGUGAAUUUGUGUUAUGUAAUUGAGCAAUUAGUCUUUAUUUAUAUAGUGCCGGUUUACAACAGUUGUCAUCCCAAGACACAUAAUAAAAAAGACUAUACUGUGUUUUCAAAGACCUAAUGUAAAGAUGGGAUGAGAUUAGUAAGAUAAGACCCACUCCCAUCCCAUCUUCAACCACAUGAGUGUAGCACUAAGCAGGUUAGUAAGCAAGCAAGUUACAGUGCCAAUUAAAUAAAUAGAUAAAAAACCUGUGUAUGCAUGUCAGCACUUGAUUCUGGUAUUCCGAUCAUACCUUGCCAGUUUUGCGCAAGAUGGUUUUGACAACUCGGGAUUCUGGCCCCUUUCCAUUGUGUCUGCCGCCAACAAAACAAACAAACAAAAAAAAAAAACAGGUCAUGGAGCACCAGACUGUCCCCGUACAUUCAGUUCCCCAAUUAAAAAUAUCUGCAGUCUUCAAAAAGAUGGUACGUAGUUAUGCGGACGCCUCACAUUCUCUUGUGGAUGCUAGCUUAAGCAUCUCUCUCAACCCCGAAAACGGCGCUGGCUUAUCUCCCGCACAUAUAUCUACAUCAUAUGUCUUCCCUGCCCCCCUACCAAAGUGAAAAAGCUAGGGGAAACACAGAAGCUAUAUCAAAAAGAUAUAUCCUACGCCUACUCUUAAAGGUAGAGAGGGUGUCUGCCACUCGAACCUCGACUGGUAUAUGAUUGAUACCACCCAGACCACUUUUAGAGAAUUUAGGUACAAAGAGCAUGCCUGCAUAUUGAGACCGCAAUGUUCUGGAAGGGGAAUAGGGAACAAGGAGCUCUUUGAGAUAUGAUGGUGCCUGACUUUGUGGGUCAGUGUAGAGAAACUAAUGCAGGGACAUUCUGGGACAAGAUGUGUCUGCUUCUUGUUUUAUUACACGGGUGAAAAAGUCAAUUCCAGAGAUUUAUUGGAUUUUGGAGUUAAAGGAUAUAUCCUGGUCCAAGAGCACUCCCACAUUCUAGACAGUGAUCAUGGUACUAGACUGAUGCCAUCUACUGCAGUUAUAUCAUUCGACAAAGUCUUUUUAAGGUGUUUGGGGCCAAGAUCAAUACUUCAGUUUUGUCAGAACUUAGUUUCAAAAAGUUUGUGGUCAUUUUCUGGUGUUCAUUCAUGGGCAUCUGUCUAAGAGUCUGCCUCCUUCGUACUUCGUAAUCCAGCCACUGCCUCCUGGAUGCUAGGGGUCUAAACAUCUGACACACUAAACAGCAAAGAGCAAGUAAAAGAGAGACAGAGAAGCAAUCGCUCAGAUAUGGAGCUAAGAAGCUAAUUGCUAACAGAGCUAAAGAGAGAAAAAUCACUUUUAGUGAGAUCACCGAGGAAACAGAGUGUGUUUGGUGAAAAGAAGAGUCUUCUUGCUGAUAUCGGGUUGAUAUUGGUAUCUGCUGAUAUUCUAGGUUGCAAUAUCGGUAUCAUAUCGGAAGUAAAAAACGUAAAAGAUAUUCCAGCGUAAAAUUAAUUUAGGGUCAAACACAGCAUAACACUGCUUACUUUUCUAGUUAUACCAACUUUAGUAAUGACCGCCUUAUUUCUUGAGCAAAGAUACUAAACACAACUCACCAACUCUCUUCCAGCAGCCGCUUGGUAGUAGCGAAACCUCGGGCCAGUUUAUUACGGACUGCUAUGGGGUGACACAGCUCAAGGAAGAACAUUUAUGAUAAUUUCGUCAUGGAAAUGCAAUCAGGCUGAGAUGCUAAGGCAGAAAACUACCGGGCCAGUCCGCUACAGACUGCUACAGGGUGACACAGCUCAAGGAAGAACAUUUAUGAUCAUUGUGAAUUUCCUCGCUGUAAUCCGUAAUGGACUGGCCUGAGGUCUUGCUACAAACAAGCGUCUGUUGGAAGAGAGUAGGUGAGUUGUGUUUCGUCAAGAAAUUAGGCAAAAUUAAAAAAAUGUGUGGUGGCUAGUGCUGUGGCUGAGACCCUAUAUGUUCUGUUGAUGAAGUUAGGUGCUGUUCUGAGUAUUAUUUGUGGCUAUACAGUGGCGUUUUGAUAGAGGUUUGUAUACAGACCGCUGUGUAUUGCCAUCGGUAACGGUCGUUACUAAAGUUUGCAACAUUCAUCUCUUGAGGUUUUUUCUUGGUUUUACGGUGUGUUUGACCCUAAAUUAAUUUUACGCCAAAAUAUCCCUUUAAAGAAGCUACUUCGAGUACUGCGGCGAGAAAAUUUAAGAGGAAGAAAGAAUGAAUUCAAAGAUAAGGAUGGCUCUCAGCAAAAAGCAGCAGAGGCUUUUCCUCGACAUGGUGGUGUUAGCUGCUAUGAAGGAGGAGGUAGAAAAGAGCAAGAGCAUGAUAAAAUUCUCAGGUAAGGAAAUAAAAGACAGAGGAGAAAAAUAGGAAGAUAAAGUCACACAAGAAUGUCAUGGCAGAACAAUGUGAUAAAGGUUUGGCAAUGCCAAAGCUGCAUGAAGACCGAUAUACAAAAACAAAAACUGGAAAAAAACAGUGUGUGGGUUUGCAUUGCCCUGAUUGGCUGCAAGCUCCUACACCAGAUGCAAGGCAGGAAAGCCAGGGCAGAUGGGAAACAACUGUGUGAGAUGAUAGAGGGAAAAUGAUUUAAAGAGAAUGGAAAAACAGAAGAGUGAAAGUUAAUUCAGCUGACCCAUCUGUUAUUUCCUGGAAACAGUGAGAGGAAGACAUGAGCAGGACAGCAGAGGAGAGUGGUGGAGGUAAAAAGAGUGGGACGUAGGAGAUGAGACUAAAGGGAACACAAAUGCUCUUCAUUCAGGUUGCAGAUAUGGAGAGCUGCUAAAUGAGUAAACCAAUGAGUGAGCAACGCAUGCAGUCUCUCUUUUUCACUACCUUAGCCUUAUCACCGGUGACAGAUCUGGCUCAUAUCUGCCUCCAUUUGGUGCUGUCAGCCUCAUGAUUUAUGUCAUCUGACAUCAUAAAACUGGCUCUCGUGACAUGCAGUGCCCAUGCUCUCCUCCACUCUGCGAGCACGCACCAACACGCACGCACACACAAACACACUCUGAAGCACCACGGAGCAGCUCAGAUUCCCCUUCAUCCCAUCUCGUCUGAGACCCCGUUCAUUUUUGAUCACCUUAAGCCACAAACUCUGAAUAAAAAACACUACAACCACUUAAACCCUGCUGAGCUCUCAAAACCUGCUACGUCACUUUGCACGCAACCCCCAACCGUGUUCAUGAUGCUGUCUGUGAGUAUACAGGCCUGUUUGUGUUUGUGCAGGUGUGUGAAACCAAGUGUUUUUUACUUCCACGUCUGCAACAACUCCAUUUGUGUCUGUUAGCAGCAACACGCAUGUGUUCAUGGGAAUAAAGGAAAGUGUUCAGGGUGUUCUUACCCACAUGUUCCUUCAAAAUUGUUCCUGGAAUAACAGAAUGUUCUAUUCUGGCACUCAAGUUUUCCACGUUUACGCUUUGCAUGGGUUUGUGACCUGACUAAGCGUGUGGGUAUGUGUACAGGUUUAUGUGUGUGACUUUAUGAGCUGAGCAAGUGAUCUCUCAUGUUACUCAGAGAGCUUUUCAACCAAACACAUUUCUUUACAAGUUAGAAUAAUGGAGUGAAGAGAAAGAAAGGAAGAGUGCUGGAAAACAUGACACUGUGAUAACAUCAGUCCCAUUGUCCCUUUCUCUUAUUGUUUUUGUGUGUCAUGUACACCUUUUGCUCUUUAUUGAUGACUUUUUCUCUCCGAUAACAAAAUCAGAGUGCAUAAAUGAUUGAUCUACCAAUUACACACUUCGUAUGCUUGCUUGAAAUGAAAGUUGUGUAUAACCAUGUGAUUGAGUUAGCCUUAAUGUAAGGUGUUUAGUAAUGCUGUGUUCGAGUUGUACUCGGAAGUCGGAAUUUCCAAGCGCUAAGUCAGAAAUUCAUCUGGAACACACCCCUGAAGUCGGAUUUCCGACUCGAAAAAUCAGACGAUCUUCACCAACCCCGACUUGACGAUGACAUCAUAAUUCAAGAUAAUAGCGCAGUGCAUCAACAGUAAAGAGUAACAGUGAAAGCUCUCGUAAUGUAUUAUUUAUUAGCGCUUAUGUUUUGUUUUUGUGUAAUUAAAUUGUGGUAUAUGUUGUACUGCCCAACGUCUAACUGCGAACACGGUGUUUGUAAGAGCAAAAUAUUGUGUUAUGUGUUGUUUACAACUGGUAUAGCUAACAACAACAGACAACCGCUAACAACAGCUGACAGUUGUAAACAACAGCUAACGACAGCUAACACUAGGCGUCCAUCUUGGUUUUCCGACUUAUUAACCGGAACGCCGUCAAUUCAGGUGUAACAUCAUUCCCAGCUCUGACAUCUGACUUCCGAGGUAACUGGAACGCAGAAUAAAUUCAGUUUGACCCAUCUUCUUUUUCAAAUCACAGGUGGUAAAGUGAGGAUACACUGGAAAAUUGUGUUGACUCUAACCCACUUAGUAUACGGUCAAAUAAAUUAGCUGUAAUCCUUUUUAAGAGUGAUUUCAUAGUCUGGUUAAAUUCAAUCAAAUUGUAUCCUGUAACUUUUGUUUUCUGUUUCAAAUAAUUAUUAUUGAGACAUUUCAUUAUCAAUCCAUGUUUAUAUCACAUGUAACUGAGUUCUGACAGUGACAUAGUAUUAAAAUACAACUGGGCAAAUGUCUGUGCAGUGAAAGAGCAGCUGCAUUUUUCACAAACCUUAGUGUAGCCAGGGAAUGCUGUGACGGAACAUACAGUGCUUUAACAGAGGAGGAGUGCCUCGGUCGCUCACAUUUACACACAUUCACCCUGGGGAUUGGUAACCACAGUCCUCUGCUCUUACACACAAGUAAACACCUCUGGAAUAAACCAAGUUUGAGGAUUCUAGUUAAAGAGGGGGGUUGAGUGAUGUUAAGAAUUGUGUUGCAGGUUUCAGACUCCAGCAGCAGCUUUUAACUGCUAAUGUCUUAUGCACCAGUUUUCCUGAGAUAAUCAGACACUUAAGCCUUUUGAGACAUUUAACAGAAACUAUAAUUUGUAAUAAAAUCAUACAGGAAAACUUGAAGCUAUUAUUUGUGUUUCUGUGAUUUAGGCAGUGUGUGCAACAGCAGCAGACCCUAUCAGUUUUCUUUAUGCAUCAAUUUCCCCGGCGGUGAGCUCACAGGUGUACAGGGUUUCCUCGGUUGGUUGAUGGGACCUGGCCGGUCUCCAGAUUUCAGAUGCUGCAGCACAGCGCAUCGGCAUUCUCCGAUAACAACCGUGCACAAACCUACAUUUUAUCUUAUCUUAUCUUAAUGUACUAAUUAAUACAGUUUUAGAUCCACGUCUAAAGGAUAAAAAGCGAGAACUGCAGACAUGAAAAGAGCAUUGUUGGGAAAAAGAAGGCAAAAAGGAAACAAUCUUCCCACAGGAAUAAAUAUUGGUUUAAUUUUGGCUUGGACUGUUUGAUUUCUGGGGCCAGCUCACACAAACACAAACCAGUGUGUGAUGGAUUUGAGUAUUAACCCUUAAAUUACCAUCUGUUGAAUCUUUUAACAUUUGUUGGGAUAGCUACUUUGUGCUUAUUCAUACAAAUAAGAAGGUCACAGAAACCUGUGUCAUUAUCUGUGUAGUUUUAAAAUUGUAUUCGGUCUCUUUGAAAAACUGCAUGCAAGAUGAGCUAAUCUGAAUACGUGUGUGUUUAUAGUUGACAGUAAAUUCUGAGGAGCUAACCUCCAGCUCACCUCUUGGGUGGGUCUUGGCAGUGCGCUCCAAACAGCUGCUAAGGCUGCAUGCGUACAUAUGCAGUUGUGUGUGUUUUGUGUUUACGGGAGGGAACGAAGGAGGGACACCUUGAGAGAACAGGAUGGAGAAGGAUGUAGUCUGUUGUUUGUAUUGAUUCUGUGUUAGUGCGUGCUUGUUCACUGACACUAGCGUGAAAACAAGCUGUUUCACAAAACCAACAGAUUAACUCAAAUGUACACAAAAGAAUGCACAAUACGUGUAAACACUCCGAAAAAGUACAUAGGGUAACAGAAACUUUGAUCUAGUACACAAACAACCACUUUUACUUCCAGGAACUCAACCUAGGGAUAAUUUCACAUUCUAUCUUGUUUAUUUGGAGUGUUUUAUCCUACAUUAACUCUUGCCAUGCCUUCUGUUUUGUAACAUGUUGCACAGGCACGAUAUGGGGUAGGCUUGAUGUUGACGGAUCAGUCACCAUCUUUGGUUAGAUAAGUAAACCGAUACUCAUGACUAUCCUUUUGUAAUACGCCACUACCCCUUCAUGAUAAUCUGACUUAACCACAGCCAACCAGAUCCAAUUGUUAUAUAAGAUUUAACACCCAUUACACAAUAGUUUCCUCAUGUUUUGUAGUGAUAAACAAUUUCUUGUAAGAGUGUUCACACUACUAAGUUAUUGACUGUUUUCCUCUUUCACAUUUACAGGUCAGGAUUGUUAAAAACAGUAAUUAAGUGAUGAUGGACCCCAGGUAUAUAGAAUAAGAUAUACAUGACAACCCACUGAGCAGUAGAUGGGUACUAGACGUCUAGGUUUUUAAGACCAAAUUUCAAGUAUAUUUUUGGACGUUGCACUUUAACCCAUUAUUCAAUAACUAUUUAUUUCAAAAAGCAACUGUGAGUUGCAUAACUGAUCUCCAAGUACUUAACCAAAAUAAUUAUGAUAGUCGUUGAGCAAUAUACAGUGUAGUAUAGAUAUAGCCCAGAUUUAGACUUGGUCUAAAUUUAGACGUAGCUCAGGAGGUAGAGUGGUCGUCUAAUAACUGGAAGGUUGGCGAUUCGAUUCCCCCCUAUCCUGAGUCUGUCCGUUGUGUCCUUGGGCAAGACACUUAACCCACCUUGCUCCCAGUGUGUGUCCUCCACUGGUGUAUGAAUGUGAGUGUUGUGUGGUGGUGGUUGGAGAGGCCGUAGGCGCAAAAUGGCAGCCACUUUUUUGUCAGUCUGCCCCAGGGCAGCUGUGACUACUAAGGUAGUUUACCACCACCAAAGUGUGACUGUGUGAGUGUAUCCAAUGUAAAGCGCUCUGAGGGUCUCCGAUAAAGCACUAUAUGAAAUCUGAUGCAUUAUUAUUAUUAUUAUUAUUAUUAUUAUUAUUAUUAUUAUUAUCAAAAAACUUUCAUUUUUAGAUCUGUGGUAGCCUGAGUUUAACCACUUGUCUAGGCUAUUAGAGGUCUAUUAGAUCAAAAAAUGCUCAGUGGGAAAUGACAUGCAUGAUUAGUGUUUUAAUGAACAGAGUCUGCUUUAUAUGCAAAAAAGAUCCACAGUUGGCCUCCACAUGUGUAAACCUUGCCCUUCUCAGGCUAAGCUGCAAACAUGUAAACAGCACACACCUCUCCCCAUUUACCUGCAUUUGACUUCAAGCUGAUAUGGGCGUUAGCUGGUUAUUAAACUGUGCUGCCUGUCUAUCAGCAUUAUGGAGCUAAUGCAAACAGCAGAAGAAAGGAGAAGGAGUAGGGGGAGUGGGAAAAGACAAACAUUGACAGGUUGCCCAACAUGGAUAGAUGAGAAAGGGUUAUGAUUUGGUAGAGAAAAAGAGGAAGGAAGCUUGAAAAAACCCCAAGAGGUGUGGGAUUUUUUUUACAUAGCUCAAGAUAAAAAAGAAGAGCAUCAAGGGGAGAGGAAGACAGGGAAAAGUAAUUAAUCUGUUCAUUUUGAGCAGAUGUCAGCAGGUGUGUCUUACAACUUGAUUUGAAGAGUACAGACAGAAAGAGUGUGGGAGUUAGGCUUGACAGCAAAAAUUCAGGUGAAAGGCCAUGACUAAGUGUGACUAAGAGUGUAUGAAUCUGUGUGUGUCCACAUAUGUGUGUGUGUGUGUGUGCGUGUGUUUAUGACCGAUCCCUGAACCGCAGCCAUCUGCCAACACCCUGGGCCAUCCUUUGACUCUGCGGUAUCUAUUUCCCUGGAAGCUAACUUUGCAUGUGUGCGUGUUGAUAGUGUCAACAGCAAUAAAGAAACAUCAAAUAUAUUUUCACACAAUGUAGUUAAGACUUAUCGUUGACAUCAUUUGUGUCUGCAAACAUGUCUAUUAUACUGGCUGUCUGUUAGCCCUGUGGUAGUUGUUACACUGAAGGAAUGCUAUGAUGUAAACACCCAGUUGUUACGGGUUACAAUAGAAAUUCUUCAAUUUAUUUAAUUUAGUCAGAUUCCCACUAACUGUGACUGAGGUAACGGUCAUUGACUUCUGAAGUCCACCCAAAAAUACAGGAACACAGGCGUAUUACAGUACAUAAUUACAUCACAGGAUAAUAGAUAGAUAGAUAGAUAGAUAGAUAGAUAGAUAGAUAGAUAGAUAGAUAGAUAGAUAGAUAGAUAGAUGGAAGCAUUGAAAAGAUAUUGGCCAACACAGACAGCUUUACAACAAGAUUUUUUUUUUCAGUCAUAUUUUUUAAAUAGAUUUAUGCUAUGUUCAGAUUUCUUUCCCUUAAAUAUUGGAAAGAAAAGAAAAGGGAUGUUAAAGUUUCUUUUUAAGUUAUACUAUUAAUUUCCAUAGCUUUCAUGCUUCUGUGGUGUGGAAAAAAUGCUUUUAUUGCACAUAAUAAAUUCAGCAAACACCCAAAAAUGUUUGAACCCAACCAUCAAAGAAUGUCACGUUAUUAUAGACAGCAAGGCAAAGCUGUAAGUGUAUUAAUUGAUUAUAAAAUAGCAAAAUUAUUCAUGUUUAUUUAUGGUAUUUUUCACGAUAACACAGACAAAUUGUGAGGAGAAUAGUCCAUUACUUUUGUGUGCCCACCACCGGUCAAUGACCAUCGGAUGGUCACUACAUUUUGCAAUGCUCUAUGGGAAAUUUUGAGUCGCCUAUAUGGGGCAUUGGAAUUGAUCUCUCAGGUUUCGGACACCCCUCAAAAUGGUGCGAACCCCCAUAUAGUCGCCGAUAUGGGGGUUAGGGAUCCAUUUCGGACACAGCCGAAGAAGAAGAAGAAGAAGAAGAAGAAGAAGAAGAAGAAGAAGAAGAACUUUAUUGAUCUCCGAAGGCAAAUUCAACAAAAGCCUGCCAAUUUAUCAAACAUUGUGUUUGUCUUUAUAGUGUGUUCAUAAUAUGUCAUUUGUAUAUUGCUCUUGUAAAUACAUGUUAUACAAAUACAAGAGGCGGCUGUGGCUAAAUGAUAGUGUUGGUUGUUUCCCACUGUCACAUGUUGAAAUGUCCUUAACUGAUACACUGAACCCAAGAUUACCCCGAGUGGCAUCCCCACCACCAAGUGAACAUGUAUGAAUGGAAUUUGUAAAUACUGAUGAGUCAGUGCAUGAAUGUGUUGUGAAAGGGUGAAUAUGAUGUGUGAUGUAGAAGUCAGUGUUCAGAAAACAAGAAAGGCACAAUUUAAGUACAGCCCAGUUACCAUUUAACUCUGACAAAGCAGUGUAUGUUCAUUUUGUUGACUUACUACUAUAUUGUGACCAUGGUAACUUGACUAUUUUCACCACUCAUGCCAUUUUUAGUACAUUUGUUGAAUUGCUCAGGAUUGUCAUUGCCGUCUUUGUCCACCUGAUUGUGGCAAAAGCACCAUUUACCUAUGAAAGAAGUCAUUUUUUAAUGCAUUGCAAUUAGUCUUUAAAUGUAUGACGUCCAGUCUAUGUUUAAAUGGGCUUUAACCAGAAAGUCUUGUUGUGACAACUGGUCAGCAUGCCAAACAAAAGCUCUACAGCAGUACUUUAAAGUAAAGAACUUGUUCUUUUACUAGAGGACUGCAAACAACCAGUUAAAUCGCAGUGUAAACACAGUUAAAGGUUAGGGUUUCUAGGUGGCUAGCAGCCUGCAAGUUUACUUCAGCCAUUAUGCCACAUAGUGUGUGUCUGUAUGUAAGCACUAAGACUCAUAAUGAAAGCACUGUGAAGAAAGUCAGACAGGCUGGUGGCUUUUGUUGCAGAGUCCUUCUGUUCUUUCGAGUAUUUACACAAUUAUUCCUGUUUGGACAUGUCUGUUAGUGAGUGUAUCUUAGUUCUCGUGUGUGGAUUCUUGUGGCGUGUGUGUGUGUGUGUGUACGCGUGUGAGUGUAAGUGUACAAGGGUGUGUGUUUGUGUGUGUGUUGCUUUACCCUGGCAGACCUUGUCAUGUCACAGUGACCAGAAAGCAAUUAUCAGUGUAUUGCUGCUUUGGGGUGGACCUCCUCCUCUCCACUUUUCCUGCUGAGAGAGAAAAGAGAGAGAGAGAGAGAGGGUGAGAGAGGGCAAAGUAGGAAAGAGAGAAAUAGGACAACGGAGCCAUAGCAAGAGAGCAAGUGGAAAAAAAAAACAGAUGAAAGAGAGUGAGACAGUGAUGGGAUGAAUGAGAGUGAGGAAAACAAAGACUUGGUACAAGAGAAUGUCAGGCUGACAUUGCUGGAUCAGUUUGAGAGCUCUCCAGAUCCACAGACACAGUGCCCUGCCACAUCACUCUGAAGGACCCUCACAGACAACCCUCUCAAUAUACAGGAGACACGUACGACACAUUCACUCAUACACACUCACAAAGUAACACACAGUACUUCUUUCACAAUCACCUAAACCCACACUGCCAGACUAUUGGCCUCACUGACACCCACACGGAGCCUUGCUGGUGGUUUUGACUGUUUUUUCUCUUUUGUAAAACAGAGAAGCUGGCCUUUGUGCACGAUACUUUUAUGUUGCAAUCAUCACAGCAUUAUGUAAAACAUAGACCAGGCAUUAACUGUCUAAUAAAUAUCCAUAUCAAAAAAGGAAGAGAUGAAAUACAACUCCUAAUGAACCCUAUAGGUGAAAGCUCUGGUGAGCCUCUGACUAUACAAGCCAAAUUGAUAAAUAUUGUUUCAGUAAUAGGAUAGUGAUGCAAAGGAUUUUUUUUUACUGUGCCACGAAUGUUAAGAAAAAACAGAUCAUUGUGAAGCCAUAAGUGACACUGAUUUACAAAACAGGGAUGAAUUAUACCAUUCAGCAUCCCUACAGAGUAAGUUUCUGUGAUUGUAAAAACUAGCCGACUGAGAAUCUGUUGGUCUAAAAGAGGUCUAAUAGACGUCUAAAUGUAUCCUAAAUGACUGGUCUAAAAUCAGGCUACCACAGGUCUAAAGAUUUGUUAAAAUCAUUUUUUUUAAUCAGCAAUUGGUUAAUUUAAACAAAAUUAUAACAUUUCAUUUUCAUUUCUUUCAUAUACGAACAUUGACUGCAUAGAUUAAAACAUAUUUCUAUGACUGUGGUCUUGAUCUGAAUGUCUGGAGUGUCUCUUUCUGCAGACUUCACUGAAGGAGGUCUGUGUGUGCUUCAGAUGUGAAUGCAGCUUUGCCAUUAUAAUGACAUAGGCUGCUGUAAGCUUAGACCUACUUGAUAGCUUUAACUUUUCAUCCAGUCUCUGUCAGUGAUGAGUCCUGUUACGCCCAUCCUGUUCUGGUUUUGAGAAUUUAGCACAUAUUUAUCCCUGUGAUUUAAGCCCAGCUGGUCUUUUCUCCCUCUUUGAUCCUGAUCAAACAGGAGGAGGAUGGCACAGGCUGAGGUAGUUAAGGUAUUUUAUCAAUAAAUCAAUAAAAUCAGUGAAGCUCUCCAUUUUUAUCUAGUGUAGAUCAAUGCAAAAAUAUCAAUGGGGUGAUAAUCUAAUUGAAAAAUAAAGUAGUUACAUUUGCAUUUGCCAUAAACAGAUUAAAAAUCACUGUUGCUGCUUUUGCAGACCCAACCAGAUGUGAUCACAAGACAAAAUAAACCACUACCAACAAAUAUCAUGGCCUACCUCCUGCAGUUAAAGAUUAUUUCACUUUAUUCCUGAUGAAACAUCAUGUUAAGUUUCCGGAUCAGGGCUUAAACAGGAAUUUUCUAAAUCCCAGUCUAUCAGUAUUAUGGUUCCAACAGUGUGAUGAAUACAUCAUCUUGUGUGCCACCAGCAUUUUUCAGCUGGAAUCUGAGGCCACACAACAUACUGUAAAUUUGAGGAUUUAUUCAUGGGAUUGUAGGCCUUAAUAAACAUUUUGAUAAACUAAUAUCCUCUCCUUGUUAAAGAAAAAAUGCACACUGUUAUAACAUGGUUUAAAACAUAAAAUCUGAGUCUGAUUUUUGAUAUUUUUGCUUCCUUUGUAGUAUUGUGAAGUUACAAUGCAGGAAAAAAAACAACAACUGUCUACUGUACCUGCCUAUCUUCUCUUUCCUCUGUCUCCCCCUCUCUGUAAAUCUUAGUGUGAAACACCCUCUGGCGACAAGCCUGACUUUGAGUCAGCAAUAUAAGCAGAGGGGCUUUUGUAAGCCUUUACACCACCUUCAACAUGUCAAGUUAACUCAGAUGUGCGUGUGUGCGCGUGCAUGUGUGUUGUGAUUAAACAGUUCCAAAGAAGAACUGAAGCAUCUAAGUGUAGAGUUGCAGAAAAGGAGAAAAGAAAAAGGACGCUUAAUUCAGCAGCUGAAGUAGGUGUGUCUACAGUGUGUGGUUAAACACACACAUACGCACAGAGACACACACACACGUGCGAAAACACGCACAAGCACAUGUGGGGACGCAGGUGGAUCUUGGUAUGUGGAAAAUGCCGGGUGAAGAGCCGGUCAUGGCAGGGCUUGGCUCUUUGUAUAAUUUUUCUUUAACCGACCAAACCCCUCUGAUUAGCCACACUGGCACCUCCGGUACCAGGAAAUGCACAGGUUCUACAUGCCAGGCCUGUAAAGCUGCAACAACGCAGGAUUUGACUAAUUUACACUCAAACAAAGGUCUAACAGGAAUCUAAAUCUCAAGAAAAAAAUAUUCCGCUGUGGCUUUUAAAAUAUGCUGCUUAUAAUGAUUCUCCAUCACUUCGAACAUGUUGAAUUUUUAAUCUUUUAUUUUGUUUCUUUCCUUCCUCUUCCUCAGCCCCCUGACCAGCAGACACAAACGUACACAAACAAACAUUUACAGACAAGAUGUCACGGAAAAUAAUGUUGAGUUGCGCACAUUUAUAGACUCUGUGAUGGAAUGGCUCUCAUUUGUUUUUCUUUUUUUUCACAUUUAAACCUCUAGAUUACUAUUUGUAUUUUUUAAUGUUUCAGGAUUUAUUGCAGAGAUUAUGCUGAAAUUUGGUAUUCACCUGUUUAAUUUAAACGUACAUCUUCCUCACAGUCAUGCGUAUCUACGAAUCAUUUAAUGCAAAUCAAAUUACAUGCGUAAGUAAAGGAUGAAUAUAUCUUAGCAUUAGGAUUCCUUCAGAGUGAGACUAGUACUCUCUGCUUCACUUAAGGGUUUUCAGGAUUUUCAUACCUACCUGUGCACCAACAUCAUAAACAUAUUUGCACUAAUGAUUCAAAGACAGUCUCACUGAUUUAAAAAACAAUAAGAUAAACAAAAUGGUUAUUGUUUUAAAAACCUCCUUCUAGCAUGAACAAACAUCAAAAGAAAUAUUUCAAUUGAUAAAAUCAAACUAAAACAUUAGCAUUUAAACACUGUAAUCAUUUGACUUUACAUUUCCACUGGAGGUCACACUGGACAAAUGGACUGGUUAUACAUCUGUAGAGAGAUCUGUAGCCUGCUCAUUCAUUAAUAUUCACAUUGAAUUGAACAUUUGCAUCAGCAGUUGUGUUAACAAGUCUUCUGCAAGAAUACAAGUUUUGACUUUUGUUCUCAUCCAACCUUUCUUCUUCACUUAGCUUUACAGUUGACAUAAAAUAAAUGAGGCAAAUGUCACAUGUGCAGCACUGUUGCUGUUAUUAUUACCACUUGUGUUUUUUCUCUGUAGUGAUCAGUAACUCAGAGAUGCACUCAUCAUCUCUGCUGCCCUUAUCUAAUUACAGACCAUGAUUUUAAAACAUUUACACUGUUAACCUCCCAUUGUAGCACAGAAAUAGUAACUUUUUUUGCCACUGUGGUUAAUAGUGAUGCCAACAGAAACUAAUGUCUUGGUCUCAGUAUCAACAAGCAGAAGUAAGAAGUGCCAUAACUGUUAUCCUCAGAUUUAUUUAUUAAGAUUAAUUUAUUAAGGGGUCUGCUUGUCUUAAGUGAUGCUCUUGUUAAGCAAGAGAGUUAAAAACUGUUGUUAAGAGGUUUCAACCAAUCAGAAUGAAGUGUUUAACACAACCAGAUGUGUAACCUCACUACAUUAUUGAUCUGCAGUUUUCUUUUAGAAACAUGUGAUCCUUGCCUGAUUUUGGUCGAACCUUAUCCAUGAUGUUUCUUAAGAUAUUUUUACUGAGUACUCAAUUCAAAGUAUGUUUCUAUUUUUGUCAACAAUGCUCAUGCUUUUUAAUCCCAUUAUCUUUCAUUUCAUUUGACUGGUCUCUUGAAAAGUGCUUUGAAAGGGGCUUGGAAAUACACAACUACACAAACGAGAGAACAACAAAACCACAAACACAUUCAUGUAAAAUUAAUGUAAAAUAAAACUUUUACCAGACGAACAGAAAAUGAAAAGUACAACCUGAUAGACUGGAUAUAAAGAAGUCAUUUUUUCACUCUUGUUCCCUGUUCCUACUUCUUCUUCUUCUUUUACUUCCUCAUCAGUCUCUUUGUACUUUUUCUUGAAUGUUUUAAGUCACAAAUCUUGUUUUUGGUUUUCAGAACCAAAUAACUCAAAUCUCAUUUCUGCUGUUUCAUUUUCUUUUUAUAGGUAAGUGCUGCUGCAUUUAGUUCUCGUGGAGACUUUUUUGUGCUUUUAGGUGAAACUGAAUUUCAUGACUCUCUGCUGCGUGGUUAUGCGUGAGUUUAGAGUAACGAAUCUGUCCCUCAUACUACUGACCAGACACACAUUAGUAGUGCUUUCAAAGAGACUAAAGAUCCACAUACAUAAAAGAGAUGAUUCCUGUUUUAUUUACAGUAAGAGUGUAAGUGUUGGUUUUAUUUUUAGUAUCAACUGUGUUUGUUUGCCAUCUAUUAUUUGUUUCAGAGAGCAUCAGAGAAACUUUGUGACAUUUCUCAUCUCCUCUCAAAUGAGAAUGCAGAGAUUUCUUGCAUUUAGGCAACAGAGCGAACCCAUGCCUCGUUGUUUCUUUUAAACAUUUCCUUAAAGGGAUAUUAAAGGGAUAUUCCGGGGUAAAAUUAAGUAACACCGAGUCAGACACCCCGUCCAGAGAUGAAUGUUGCCGACCGCUUGCUUCUCUAGUCAUUCCAACUUUAGUAACGACUGCAAAAAGCAAUACAGAGAGCCACGCGCUUAACCAAAACGCCACUCUAUAGCCACAAAUAAUACUCAGAACAGCACCUAACUUCAUCAACAGUACAUAUAGGGUCCCUGCCACCAAACAUUUUUUUAGCUUGCCGUAUUUCUUUAGCAAAGAGACUAAAGACAACUCACCCACUGUCCUCCAGCAGCAGCUUAUUUGUAGCGAGACCUCCAGGCGAGUCCAUCGACUGCAGCGGGGUGACGCAGCUCAAGGAAGAACAUUUAUGAUCAUUACUUUAUCAUUUCCUUGAAGUAAUAAUCACCAUAUUAAUCAUUUUGCACUGCAGACGCGACAGUUCUUCUGCCUUAGCGUCUCGGUUUGAUUGUAUUUCCAUGAGGAAGUGAUCAUAAAUGUUCUUCCUUGAGCUGCGUCACCCCACAGCAGUCCAUAAUGGACUGGCCUGAAGGUCUCCGUACAAACAAGCAGCUGCUGGAAGAGAGUAGGUGAGUUGUGUUUAGACUCUUUGCUAAAGAAAUUAGGUAAAGCUAAGAAGAUGUUUAAUGGCUAGUGCUAUGGCUGGGACCCUAUAUGUACUGUUGAACAUGUUAGGUACUGUUCUGAGCAUUAUUUGUGGCGUUUUGGUUGAGCGUGUGGCUCUGUGUAUUGCUAUUGUGCGGUCGUUACUAAAGUUGGUAUAACUAGAGAAGCAAGCGGUCGGCAACAUUCAUCUCUCGACGAGGUGUCUAACUUACUGUUAUGGUGUAUUUGACCCUAAAUAAAUUUUACGCUGGAAAUCCCUUUAAUAUCACCAUUGCCUUUUCUCUGUUGUAACUCAUUUAACAGACACAUCAAAUCAUAUUCUCCUUUUUUUCCAUUUCAUGCGUGUUUCCUUAUAACAUUUUUGUCUCAUUGAAAACGAAGUCACUGAAAACAGUUGGCUUUGUAAUUAUAUAUUUCAAGCUUAGCAGAGUGGAAAACAUUAGAUACAAAUAAAAUAUUGACCACUAAUUUGAUUAGAAACUCUGUACACAUUUGUUUGCUCUUCAAUCAUCUCUCUGAGCCUCAUAAAUCAGUGCUCUGCUCUAUGCUUUCAGAAAAAAAACCCUACAUUGUCCCACCUUGUCCCCUACACUGCGACACAGAUUGCAUGGGCCUGAAGUCAACUUGAUGUGUGUGUACAUGUAUGUUUUUGUGUGUGUAUGUGAAAGGAAUGUGCACACCCAUCCAAUACAGGGAUCAAGGCUGAGACAGGGAGGAUGGAGGGGAUGUUUGCAGUCGCACGCGACCCUCCCAGACAUAUGGACAUAUGCUAUAGGAAGAAUAAGCCUUAAGGCCAUGUUGCAUGAGGUGUAUGUCAAGGAGGAGGAGGAGGAGGCGGGUUUGUGUUCAAGUCUGAGACUUCAUUGCAUGAUAAGGAAUGUGUUCUUAUGUGUGUUGCUGGAGAUUAUGGAGAGGGAAAGCAGCUCAGAUCUGCCGUCUAUGUCUGCACAGCAGUAUUGUGACCAACAUUUAACCAAAAGUCAGGUCAAAAAUUUCGAUGAGUUAUGCACUCUUCCUGGAUGACGUUUUUUUUUUUUUUAAGCAGAUUUUAACCCUGUUUUUUUAUAUAAAAAGUGUAAACGAUAUAGAUAGAUAGAUGUAAGUUUCAGAUUAGCCACUGCGAGUUAGUGUCAGGAGACUGAGACAUCACUUUUUCUUUCUAUGCUCAAAUAAGAUCACAGUUUCCACCAAUAAAAAUUCAUUUUUGUUUCACCGCAUUGAAAGGUAGAGAGGCACCUACUUCAGACUGAUGGGAGAGUGUUUAAAAAAACAACAUUUCAGACUAUCUUUCUGCUCUAUUUGUAGCAGACAGUCAGGUAAGGUUCAGAUGUUUGAGUUCACAGGGAAAAUCUCCUCCAACUGUCCAGUUGAUACUGAUCGCUCACCUGGUAGCACUGCACCGGAGCCAGAGUGUGUGUGUGUCUGUCUGUGUGUGUGUGUGUGUGUAAGUAUGUGUGUUUGUGGGAUUUAGUUUGCAUGUGUGUGUAUAUGUCAUUAUCCUUUUAGUCACACAAUGCAUCAUGCACAAACCCUUGAUGCUUGCUCAAGAUCCCAUUUUGUAUGUGUAUGAUAGUUAUUGCCAUGACAACCACCCAACCUUUGACUCAUACCGCUGUCACACAUUAGUGUUCCACACCUGUUGCGUUUCUAUGGUGCCACUCCGUUGCCUUGGUUAUGCAUAUAAACACAUUUUUGAGGGGCGAUCUAAGAACAGUGAGCAGCUGUGGAAUCCCUCUGAUCUUAGCAUGUAAUCUGAUGAGCAUGCCACUGGGACUCAAGGGGUAGCUUGUUUUGUCAUGACUACUAACACACCGACACACAUGCACACACAUGAACCUUCUUCAAGAGUGUGUUUACUUUUUCUUUAUUUCAAAUGUCUUACAUGUUUGAGUGAAAUAGUGCUGUCUGUGACAUCCACGUGAUGUGUGACUACUUUGAUAACCCAUCACAACUUAUAACACUGACAAGCAAACAAACUCAGUCACAAUAAUGCUGCGUUCCAGUUAUCUCGGAAGUCGGAGUUGGGAAUGACCGACACCUGAGUUGACGGCAUUACAGUAAACAAGUCAGAAAACCAAGAUGGACGCCAACUAUUAGCCGUUGUCGCUACUUGAUCUGACCCAGAAACCCGAUUUGUACUGCGCAUGUGCGAGAUGUAUGUCACUUCCUCUACUAGCCCUCUUUGCGACAGCUUCGAUGAUUGCUCAACAUCUUCAGCAUCAGCGAGCUCGCUUCAGUUUAUUGAUACUCCAGUUUAUCAACAGCCACACGCUUUUUUUUCCUUCUGAACGGAGUGCUUCCUCUGACUGAAGCAAAACACCGGAAAGUCAAGAGAAUGGCGCCCAGUUUUGCAAAUAAAGGUUCCUACUACAACUUAAUUGUAAAAUUGCAACGUUGUUAGCUUGAAUGAAUGUGAAUAUUUCACUGUUGAAAUUGUACGCUGUGUAAAAAUGCUGAAAUUCAUUGUCCAUAAUGUGUAGGGUUCUUGUUAAUAAAUUUAAUUUAUAAAAUAAAAGAAAUAAAUCCCCCCUUGAUACUUUGAAAAGUCAGAGAACCAUCAUUUUGACCGGGUUUUGGCACUCUCUGUGGGCUGGGAAGGGUGCACAAUGGGUGGCCACACACAUCGAGAGCAUCCCCCCUUGAUACUUUGAAUAGUCAGAGAACCAUAAUUUUGGCCAGGUGGUGGCGCUCUCUGUGGCCCAAAAGGUCUCAUUCUGCUAGGCAGGAGCUCUGGCGAAUGCCUCGGCAUUAGCUCUGGAGCCUCCUGCUAGCGAGCCAACUUGUUUCUGAAACAAUCAGUAGUUAAAAUAAAGUUUUCAAGGUGAAGAAAAUUUGCACUUGCGCAGUACGAAUCAGGAAGGUAGCGGCUCGCUGCCGUAAAAUACAUUGAAAUGCCAAGAGAGGAAGUGACAUAUGUUUCUCACAUGCGCAAUACAAAUUGGGUUUCCGGGAUGGAUCGGGUAUCGACAGCUGUUGUUAGCUGUUGUUUACUAGUAUCAGCUGUCGUUUGCCGUUGUCAAGCUUUUGCUGUUACUCUUUACUGUUGAUGCACUGCGCUGCCAUUUUGGAUUAUGACAUUGCCGUCAAGUCGGGGUUGGUGAGGAUCGUCCAACUUUCCGAGUCAGAAAUCUGACUUCAGGGGGCGUUCCAGAUGAAUUUCAAAAUCAGUGCCCGGAAAUUCUGACUUCCGAGUGCAACUGGAACGCAGCAUAAGAACCUCGCUGAAGGGCGUUUUGACAACAUUUAUAUCGUGUCACAAAGCCCAUCCUGUGACGUCUGUCUGACAUGUAUGUAAGAAGUGUUGGGAAGCUUCCUGCUGUAUCCAGAUUAGCAGGAGAAGUUGAGUUCAUCCUUUCAUCAGAGGUAGAACACACACUGAUCAUCCAACACAGAGGCAGGCCAGGUUGAAAAGAUGGAUUAGAGAGAGGAGAGAGACAGAUGAAAGACGGGAUAGAUGCACUGAGCAAGGCAGGAGAGAUGAAAGAGUGGAGUGAUGGAAUGAGUGAAGGUCAAAAGAGAAAGAGUAAAGGAUUGAUGUGAUUGAUGUGAUACAGCUUGUUCUCAUAAGUCUGAUGCACUCUGACUGCUCUGUGUGGCUGUGUGUGCGCGUUUAUGCAUCAAAGUGUGUGUUUGCGAAAAGUCUCUCUAACUAUAGGCAGUAGGAUAACUAUUGAUCUCUGGGUGUAUCAAAGGAACUUGCAUCUCACGAGAUUUUUUCAAUGACAUUUGCAUAACACACACACACACACACACACACACACACACACACACACACACACACACACACACACACACACACACACACACACUAACCUUAGUCCACGGUUUAUCUAACAGUUGAUAAAAUCAGUCACAGUCCUUCUUUCACUUUUUCGUUCCUUCUUUGACUUCUGAUUCAAAAGAAAAAAAAUCCUCACCCUUACUUCCUUCCUUCUUCCUUCCUUCCUUCCGUCCUUCCUCUGUCUCCAUCUUUUUCUCACUUUGGUUUCUGAAAUAUGAGCAUAUGUUGGAGAGGACAUGGGGUUUUCCUGAUAAACAGAAAGGCUUUUCCCUCUCAUGUGGCUGUUUUUUGAUGAUUUGCCAUACACCACAGUGGGAUGAGAACCUUAGCUGAGUGUGUCACUGAAACAUUAUCAUUUUAGUGUCAAGACUCUCCAUAUGUGCCUCUGUGCCGUCCCCCACAUGUCCACUGUGACUACACCGCACACCAUGUACUUCUUUCUUCAUUUACUUUUCCCAUUUUAAGGUGGCAUGUUAUUUUUCUGAUUAAAACCACAAAGACCACGCUAAGAUUACUGUCAGAUUCCUGUCAGCAUUUGUCAACCACAACAGCUGAUAAACCAUCAGCUGGCUGUUACCUGAGUCCUAAUGGGGCGCUCACACCAAGCGCAAGUAAAAUUAUCAACUCGCUUAAUUCGCAUGAAUCUAGACGCGUGAAUGAAUAUUAUUUAUUUGCUUAAUUUGCACGUCAACUGUAAUUUUAACGCUAAUCCCUGCCUUUUCAACCAGCGGGAUCAAGUGAUAGACAAAGGUUUUUACAAUUUACCAGGUAAUCCAACCCUCUCACUCACUUGCCUCCAGGCAAGAUCCUUUUUAUUCCUGUUUUAGUAAUUGAAAGAAAAGUUAUCAUAUAAUUUGGGGCACCAACACACCGACAUGAUCAGUUUUUCCUCCAUUUUAGAUACCAGUGAACAUCUGUCCAUUUUAAUACGUCACCCGGCAACCUUAGUGCUGAUUAGUUAUCACGACGCGAAUAUCGCUCAAGUUGAGACAUUUUCAGUUCUCGCCAAAUUCGCGUCAUUCCCACCGCCAGAGUAGUAGGAGCGUCUGGUCAUGUCUGGUCGUGUCUGGUCGUGUCUGGUCGUGUCUUUGCAUUGGCCUUACAUAUAAUUCAUUCGCGCGAAGGAUUUUACUCAUGCUUGGUGUGUGGAGACAGUAGUACUGUCAAUGCUUAGGACUGAAGUCAGACCCAAGACAUAUGCUGCGUUCGAGUUACCUUGGGAGUCAGAUGUCUGAGCUGGAAAUGACGUCACACUCGAGUAACCAGUGUUUUGGUUACCUAGUCAGAAAAAGUCUUCUUAAAACCCAUUUUUAUUCACUGGCUUUUAACCCUGCAUGAGACUCUGCUCCUAUUUUAGUGUUUUAUUGUUUGUUUUUAGUUAUUUGUUUCUAUGUUUUUAAAUUAGUUUUUAAAAACACUGAAACUAUAUUUUACUUUUAAUUCUGCUUUUAUUUUAUCCAUUGUUUGAAUUGUUUUUUGAUUGUUUUUUUUUUUUAUCUAGUUGUUUUGUCUAGUUAUGUACAGCACUUUGUUCAGCUGUCGUUGUUUUAAAGUGCUUUACAAAUAAAGUUGAGUUGAGUUGAGUUGAAAAAAGCAAAAUUGGAGGUGGAAACAAGAUGUUGCAGAGGAACCGCAUAUUUGUCCAGAAGUUGCUUAUAUUCGGACAAGGCAAGCGCUAAAAUAACUUUCGUAGAUGUAGCCAUCUUGUUUCCGCCUCCAAUUUUGCUUUUUUCUGAUUUGGUAACUGAAACGCUGGUAACUCAGUUGCGACAUCAUUCCCAGCUUGGAAAAUCUGACUUCCAAGGUAACUCGUACACAGCUAGUCCUAGACUCCAGCACUACAACGCUACUUCAGAUCUACCACCCAAGAAAAACACCCAAAGUUUUUUUUUUCCUGAGUCGAUUCUCAUCUUUUGGAGAAAAUUAGGAACGGGAGAGUCAGGAACAGGCAGGCUGAAGAUAAAAACGGUGGAAACAGCAGCUGGAAGUGAGAUAUCAUGUCAUCUCUGACCUUGAAGACGGAAAGAGGAGUGAGACAGAUAGCAACAAGGGACAGACACAGCUGCCUGUAAGGUACAAACUGUAUGCUGCAGCUAAAGAGGCAGAAUGCAGAAGCACUCAGGGACCUGUUCUUCAUCACCAAUAGCCGUGAUAGCACAGGGGGAUGGGGUUUAAAAAAAAGUCAGAGAGAGGGAGAGGAAAUGGGAUGGAGAUGUGUGAUGAAUAGUACAAAGAGAAGGAGGCUGAUAACUGGUGCCAGACAGCUGGGAGUGUGUUCGUUUGAUUGUGUGUGUGUGUGUGUGUGUGUGCUUGCAUGUGUAUAUCCCAGCCUGUGUCUUUAUCUGAUCUGUGCUCCUGUUUGCCUGGGAGAAACUCACAACACCAUCUUUUUUGUCCAUUAAACAUGAUCUCAUUUUGCUAUAAAAUAAAAACGCUGUGCUGUUACAAUUCUGCACAAAAGUCAGUCGGCGACGAGCAGUGAAAACAGAACAGACCGUCUGACUGUGAGCUUAGACGUGCGAGCCCUCUCACUCUGUAUCCUCAUUGCGUGUGGCUGCAAGGUCACAGGGCUAGACAGCCAGCUUCAUGGUUGCACACACACUCACUCACAAACACAAACACAUUAACUGAUCAUGCCGCCAGAGAGGGGAUUAGGCUGAGAAGCCGACAGGGUUAGGAGGGUUAGGGUAAAGUCCGUGCAUGUGUUUGUGUGUGUGUGUGCGUGUGUUAGUUUUUAUGCGGGUGUGUGGCGGGAGCAACCCACGCUGUCAUGGCAUGCAGAAUUAGAAUUAAAACUGAUUUCCGAUUUAUUUUCUCAAGAGUGAGUCGGCAGCUGUGCAUGGAGGGAGAGGCUGUUUUUCUAAAAGAUGGUUUCACACAUGAAGUAGCAACUAAAAAGAUCUAAAUUAUUCAUGAAGAGUUGUUUAGCUGUGAGAUGAUUACCAAAAGAAUCGUGCUAGCCUUAAGAGUCCUGAUCUACUGUGAACUUUCUUGAACUUCCUCUGAUCCCAGAGGGAGAAUUCACCGUUCAGCUCGGCUUAUUCCACAUGAAGAUUUAAGCAUAGGAGUCAACAGAAUAACAGCUGUAUGGAUUUGGUGUCUCGCUCAAGUACUUUUCAAUGACACUUGAAAUUAUAAAAGCAUACUCUGGGAGAUUACGUUUCCCGCUGCCUGAAUAUGAUAUGUAGCUACAAUUAAGCUGAAUCCUACUUUAAAAAUAGAGGUUAGUAAAACUCUGUAGUCAGUUGUGUAAUUUACCGAUUCUACAAAUGCAGAAAAUCAAGUGACCAUGCCAUGAACUUUGUGUCUCAGGGGAGCAGAGGAGACGG